GACGAACCGUGGCGAACGUUGUUCGGAAUCACUGGGCUUAAAGGGCGCGUAGGCGGCUCGCGUAGGUCGGGGGUGAAAUCCCGCGGCUCAACCGGCGGAAGGGCCUCCGAUACCGGCGGGCUGGAGGGAGGUAGGGGUGCGCGGAACUUCUGGUGGGAGCGGUGAAAUGCGUUGAUAUCAGAAGAACGCCGGCGGCGAAAGCGGCGCACUCGGACCUCUACUGACGCUGAGGCGCGAAAGCCAGGGGAGCAAACGGG
rnacentral:rRNA from 1 species